rnacentral:lncRNA from 1 species
UGUUGAUAAAACGAUUUUAAUUCUUUUCAAACAAACCGUGUCAAUGAUAAAGUUCGAGUGAAACAUUCUGUAACGUCCAGUGUGGGAUCUCACGUAGCCUAUGUAGGUUACAGUUCGCGAGCCCACACAAAGUGGUCGAACCGUCAAUAACCACCUCCCCACGGGCUCACAACAAGAGUAUUGCAGAGAUCGGGCCCUCCCUCGCAGUGACGCAUGCAGAAACGACCAAGGAAAUCCCCAAGUGAGAGUUACGACAGACUCUCGCCACCGUAGAUAGUGGGCAACUUCCGACUCGCGCUGAACGUACAAAUCGACAUAGAAGCCAAAUACGUGUAAACCGUGUCCACGCUCCGGACAAAUACAAGGUGUUGUAAACACUGCUUUUGGACCAGUUUAGGUUGAUUGAGAAACAUUUUGUCGGCGUCGCGGAAGUGCAUAGACAACCAACGACUUGCGGCCGCUUUUUAUGAAUACACCUACCGAAGUACAGCAGCAGGAGGACAUGUACGGCAUGGCAGAAAUGCCCGAUCUCAUGCCACCGGCAGGUGCAUUACAACCCAGUCCAGUAAUCCCGUACGACCACGGACAGGCAGGGAGAAACAGACCAGACCUCCUGUACGCCCCACGAAGAAUGCAGCGAGCCCCCAAACUCGGACAGAUCGGGCGGUCUACGAGAGUGGUUAUUGAUGAUGAGGACUUGGAUGAUAUUAUAAACAAUAACAGAAGCUUCCCGGUUUCUCAGAGAGUAUCACCUGUUGCCUGAUGCAUGGCUGACUGUGCCAAAGCUGUUAAGAGGCCAACACACCAAAGCAGGCCUACAGAAUUGAACGAAAAUCUCCCUCUCACAUGUUCUCACUUGUCGGCACCUUUCACUGUACAGCUUUUAAGGCUUUCACCACUUCAAGGUCAAACAAGAGAACUGUGGACUUUGCUUCCUGUUCACUUUAUGCUUGCCCAUCACUUAAUUGAUGUCGUGCUUCUGUAGCACUGAAUGAUCCUGUCUGGUGUUCUCAGUUUUGGAUGUUUCUUUCUUGAGAUGAAGAUCUUGAUGAUCGCUAAUGCAACAGGGCUAUAUUUAUUAAAUUUGCACCUUACUGCAGAAUAAGAAAGCUAACCUCAGCAGGUUGGAUUACUCAUCUCCCAAAGAGGACAUUUUCCUGUGAAACACUGUUAACGUGUAACGCGCCAUUUGGUAAGACCUGUGGUUACCUUGGUAACCAGGGCCUACCUUGACAUUUCUCUGAAUGACAUUGGCUACUUGUUAACUUUAAGGAUCUUUUAUUUGGUCACUGUUUUUAUGUGCCUGUUGAUUUUAGUUUGAAUUGAAAUAAGUGCAAUCUUGAAUGCAUACUGAGAUGAACAAUCAAAUCUUCUAAACCGAUCUCAGAUGUUGGUUGAAGUACGUUGCUCUUAAAAAUGUUUUUAGCUUCUAAAUGUUUGCAUGGAAAUUCAUGGAUUUUUGUAAAUUGUUUUGGGGGAGUGCAGUGGGGUGGGAGUAAUAAAGUAUGCAUGAGUAACUUUAUUGCAUUUGUUAAUGUUUGAAUACAGGCUAUUUGUAAAGGUGUUAGUGCUGUCAAUAGAUUAAAAAAAUUAACUGAUUAAUCACACAUUUUUCUUUAAAGGGGUCAUAUGAUGUUGCUAAAAAGAACAUUAUUUUGUGUAUUUGGUGUAAUGAAAUGUGUUUAUGCGGUUUAAGGUUCAAAAAACACAUUUUCCACAUACUGUACAUUAUUGUUUCUCCUCUAUGACCCGCCUUUCUGAAACGCGUCGAUUUUUACAAAGCUCAUCGGUCUGAAAAGCGAGGUGUGCUCUGAUUGGCCAGCUAUCCAU